AGAGUUUGAUCCUGGCUCAGGACGAACGCUGGCGGCGUGCCUAAUACAUGCAAGUAGAACGCUGAAGAGAGGAGCUUGCUCUUCUUGGAUGAGUUGCGAACGGGUGAGUAACGCGUAGGUAACCUGCCUUGUAGCGGGGGAUAACUAUUGGAAACGAUAGCUAAUACCGCAUAACAAUGGAUGACACAUGUCAUUUAUUUGAAAGGGGCAAUUGCUCCACUACAAGAUGGACCUGCGUUGUAUUAGCUAGUAGGUGAGGUAACGGCUCACCUAGGCGACGAUACAUAGCCGACCUGAGAGGGUGAUCGGCCACACUGGGACUGAGACACGGCCCAGACUCCUACGGGAGGCAGCAGUAGGGAAUCUUCGGCAAUGGGGGCAACCCUGACCGAGCAACGCCGCGUGAGUGAAGAAGGUUUUCGGAUCGUAAAGCUCUGUUGUAAGUCAAGAACGAGUGUGAGAGUGGAAAGUUCACACUGUGACGGUAGCUUACCAGAAAGGGACGGCUAACUACGUGCCAGCAGCCGCGGUAAUACGUAGGUCCCGAGCGUUGUCCGGAUUUAUUGGGCGUAAAGCGAGCGCAGGCGGUUUGAUAAGUCUGAAGUUAAAGGCUGUGGCUCAACCAUAGUUCGCUUUGGAAACUGUCAAACUUGAGUGCAGAAGGGGAGAGUGGAAUUCCAUGUGUAGCGGUGAAAUGCGUAGAUAUAUGGAGGAACACCGGUGGCGAAAGCGGCUCUCUGGUCUGUAACUGACGCUGAGGCUCGAAAGCGUGGGGAGCGAACAGGAUUAGAUACCCUGGUAGUCCACGCCGUAAACGAUGAGUGCUAGGUGUUGGAUCCUUUCCGGGAUUCAGUGCCGCAGCUAACGCAUUAAGCACUCCGCCUGGGGAGUACGACCGCAAGGUUGAAACUCAAAGGAAUUGACG
rnacentral:rRNA from 2 species